AUAAGAAUUAUGCUAAUGAACUAUUUUAAAUAGUCUAUAAACCUUAACUUAAUUUGUGUUUGAUUAUUUGGUAGAGUAUGAAGAGAGCUUUUGAUCAUUUCAACGUCUAAAAUGGGACCAACUCGAUCGAACUAAAAAUCUGCAAGAAAAGAUCCCACAAAUAAAUUCUAAACAGAAAGAAGAUUCAACAACAUUUGAAGCUUUGGCAAAAGAUAUCUUCGACAUGAUGACAGGGUAUAUUUGCAUCUCUUGAUCUUCAAUUCUGUGCAAGAAAAUUUAAACUUUACACCGAAAGAUUCCAUAGAAAUAUAGAAUCAUAUAAUAUGAUUCUACAAAAUCUACAAAUGUGGAUUCCACUGCAGGUGAACAGGGGAAACAUAUGACAAGAGGUUACUACAUGAAUUUGUAGUCAAAUUGAUGAACGUUGAACAGUGGUUGUGAAUGUAUUUUUGUUGGCAAACAUAGUAUCUACUGUACAGGCAUUCCAAAAUUAACAUCCUAAAAGGGACCCCACUUCAAAUACAGCUAGGGAAAAAUGUUGCAUUCUAUUUUUAUUAUUUAUGUAUAGCACAUGCUUCUGUUUUCUGACUUAUCAUCAAUAGGAUGGUUUUCAUUAGUAGUGUAUGCUGGUAGGUGAACAAUUUCAGCUGCCAUUAAUUGUUAAAGAAACCUACAUGGAUCCCACUAAUGCUAUUGUAAAUUUAUGAGUGCUAACCUCAUUUGAGUCAGGUGCUUAAUCUGAAA